UGGAAGCGUCUGGAAAGGCGCGCGAUACAGGGUGACAGCCCCGUACACAAAAAUGCACAUGCUGUGAGCUCGAUGAGUAGGGCGGGACACGUGGUAUCCUGUCUGAAUAUGGGGGGACCAUCCUCCAAGGCUAAAUACUCCUGACUGACCGAUAGUGAACCAGUACCGUGAGGGAAAGGCGAAAAGAACCCCGGCGAGGGGAGUGAAAAAGAACCUGAAACCGUGUACGUACAAGCAGUGGGAGCCUCUUAAUGGGGUGACUGCGUACCUUUUGUAUAAUGGGUCAGCGACUUAUAUUCUGUAGCAAGGUUAACCGAAUAGGGGAGCCGAAGGGAAACCGAGUCUUAACUGGGCGUUAAGUUGCAGGGUAUAGACCCGAAACCCGGUGAUCUAGCCAUGGGCAGGUUGAAGGUUGGGUAACACUAACUGGAGGACCGAACCGACUAAUGUUGAAAAAUUAGCGGAUGACUUGUGGCUGGGGGUGAAAGGCCAAUCAAACCGGGAGAUAGCUGGUUCUCCCCGAAAGCUAUUUAGGUAGCGCCUCGUGAAUUCAUCUCCGGGGGUAGAGCACUGUUUCGGCAAGGGGGUCAUCCCGACUUACCAACCCGAUGCAAACUGCGAAUACCGGAGAAUGUUAUCACGGGAGACACACGGCGGGUGCUAACGUCCGUCGUGAAGAGGGAAACAACCCAGACCGCCAGCUAAGGUCCCAAAGUCAUGGUUAAGUGGGAAACGAUGUGGGAAGGCCCAGACAGCCAGGAUGUUGGCUUAGAAGCAGCCAUCAUUU
rnacentral:rRNA from 1 species